UACGUAGGGUGCAAGCGUUGUCCGGAAUUAUUGGGCGUAAAGAGCUCGUAGGCGGUUUGUCGCGUCUGCCGUGAAAGUCCGGGGCUCAACUCCGGAUCUGCGGUGGGUACGGGCAGACUAGAGUGAUGUAGGGGAGACUGGAAUUCCCGGUGUAGCGGUGAAAUGCGUAGAUAUCAGGAGGAACACCGGUGGCGAAGGCGGGUCUCUGGGCCGAUGACUGACGCUGAGGAGCGAAAGCGUGGGGAGCGAACAGG
rnacentral:rRNA from 1 species